rnacentral:rRNA from 1 species
GUGUCAGCCGCCGCGGUAAUACGUAGGGUCCAAGCGUUAAUCGGAAUUACUGGGCGUAAAGCGUGCGCAGGCGGUUGUGCAAGACCGAUGUGAAAUCCCCGGGCCGUUAACCUGGGAAGUUAGCAUUGGUGACUGCACGGCCAGAGUGUGUCAGAGGGGGGUAGGAAUUCCACGUGUAGCAGUGAAAUGCGUGGAGAUGUGGAGGAAUACCGAUGGCGAAGGCAGCCCCCUCGGGAGUAACACUGACGCUCAUGCACGAAAGCGUGGGGAGCAAACAGGAUUAGAUACCCUGGUAGUCCACGCCCUAAACGAUGUCAACUAGUUGUUGGGGAUUCAUUUCCUUAGUAACGUAGCUAACGCGUGAAGUUGACCGCCUGGGGAGUACGGUCGCAAGAUUAAAACUUAAGGAAUUGACGG